GUAUUUUGAUCUACGUACUCAAAACCUGAGUGAUUAAUUUAUAUCAUGUUUUGGUUGUUGACAUUUUGCAAUUGAUUUAUUUGAGGACACAUUCAAUUGUAGAACAUCUUUUUUAUGUACUCAAAAGCAAAAAGUACUGAAGAGUUGUACUUGCAAAUAGAAAUGGUAAAAACAGAGAUGAAUCAGAAGUGAUGGUGGUGAUCUUAUCCUAUCUAGUGUUUGGUGUGAACCAUAUAACGAUAUAGUAAACAUUGUCUAUGUAGAUAGAAAAAAAUAACAUUUGUAAGCAAUGUUAGAUGUGUGUUUUUAACACGUUAGUAACCUUGUUUAAGUUCAUGUAGGCAAGGUUGCGUAUAUUUAUGAGAUUCAACGUGGAUUGUAGGCUUUAGAUCUAAACUCCAAAAAAUAAAAAAAUAAAAAAAUCUUUUAGGGCCAAUAAGUUUUAAUAUUAGUCAAAGUUAUUAAAUGAUCAUGAAUUAAUUCAUUUCAAGAUGUGUGAUAAUAA
rnacentral:lncRNA from 1 species